rnacentral:rRNA from 1 species
UGUGGAAUAUUGCACAAUGGGCGCAAGCCUGAUGCAGCCAUGCCGCGUGUAUGAAGAAGGCCUUCGGGUUGUAAAGUACUUUCAGCGGGGAGGAAGGGAGUAAAGUUAAUACCUUUGCUCAUUGACGUUACCCGCAGAAGAAGCACCGGCUAACUCCGUGCCAGCAGUCGCGGUAAUAUGGAGGGUGCAAGAGUUAAUCGGAAUUACUGGGCGUAAAGCGCACGCAGGCGGUUUGUUAAGUCAGAUGUGAAAUCCCCGGGCUCAACCUGGGAACUGCAUCUGAUACUGGCAAGCUUGAGUCUCCUAGAGGGGGGUAGAAUUCCAGGUGUGGCGGUGAAAUGAGUAGAGAUCUGGAGGAAUACCGGUGGCGAAGGCGGCCCCCUAGACAAAGACUGACGCUCAGGUGCGAAAGCGUCGGGAGCAAACAGG